rnacentral:lncRNA from 1 species
UCUAAUCAUCAAAACAAUUUAGUACAUCAAAUAUCUGCUUUAUUCGCAUCAUCCAUUAUUCUGCCACUAUUCUACCACCAAUGGAUUAGGUUCACCAUGCUUUCGCUGCGCCACUCUGAUUUGAUAUCCUGGAUCACCCCUUUCAUCCCACUUAAUUACUCAACAAAAGAUUAAGUAAGACGACCAGAUGUCCUCGUCAUCUUAGAUUCCUAAAAGAUAUUAAAGAAAAUUUUCACCGAUCACUAUAGUUUACUAGACCUCAAUGUAUUUUAUAUAUUAAACUUAUUAAAU